GUCAUCUGUGCUCACUGAUGGCUGAGAUCUGGUCUGAACGAGGAGCCUGAAAUCGCUCCCCGGAGCUUUCACGGAGGCCACGCUCGGCCCCAUAUUGGAGCCAUUUCCUGUCUCAGGAGUGGGCAAAGGGUCUGCAGGAAGUCUUGAACAAUGGGACCCCUCCUGAGGUUCUGCAAGCCGGCUACGCCAGUAAGAAGUUGGAUUAAACGCAAAACUCAAGACGAAAAAGACGGCGCUGUUGUGACAUUACUGCUUGGUUUGAGAAAACAUAAGACAAGCAAGGAUAAAGUUUUAUUUUAUUUAUUUAUUUUUUGUUUUCUAAUGAUGGCAUGUGGACAAUAGCACUGACAAGUGACAUGCAGUGAUAUAAACGCUGGUAAAUGCAAAUUAUUUUGAUGCUGCAUUGUGCUCUACACAAGGUUAGGCACGGUACCUGUAUGU